UACGUAGGGAGCAAGCGUUGUCCGGAAUCAUUGGGCGUAAAGCGCGCGUAGGCGGCCCUGUAAGUCCGUUGUGAAAGUCAAAGGCUCAACCUUUGAAAGCCGAUGGAUACUGCAGGGCUAGAGUCCGGAAGAGGCGAGUGGAAUUCCUGGUGUAGCGGUGGAAUGCGCAGAUAUCAGGAGGAACACCAAUAGCGAAGGCAGCGUCCUGGCCGCUUGCUGACACUGAGGCACGAAAGCUGGGGGAGCAAACAGG
rnacentral:rRNA from 1 species